rnacentral:rRNA from 1 species
UACGUAGGGAGCAAGCGUUGUCCGGAUUUAGUACUGGGCGUAAAGAGCGUCGCAGGCGGUCGUUCAAGUCGAGUGUGAAAGCCCCCGGCUCAACUGGGGAGGGUCAUUCGAUACUGUUCGACUUGAAGGCAGGAGAGGGAAGCAGAAUUCCCGGUGUAGUGGUGAAAUGCGUAGAUAUCGGGAGGAAUACCAGUGGCGAAGGCGGCGUCCUGGACCGGCAUUGACGCUGAGGCGCGAAAGCUAGGGGAGCAAAGCGGG